rnacentral:rRNA from 1 species
UACGGAGGAUGCAAGCGUUAUCCGGAUUCAUUGGGUUUAAAGGGUGCGUAGGCGGACUAUUAAGUCAGUGGUGAAAUCCUGCAGCUUAACUGCAGAACUGCCAUUGAUACUGAUGGUCUUGAGUUUGGUUAAGGUAGGUGGAAUGUGUAAUGUAGCGGUGAAAUGCUUAGAUAUUACACAGAACACCAAUUGCGUAGGCAGCUUACUGAGCCGACACUGACGCUGAGGCACGAAAGCGUGGGGAUCGAACAGG